rnacentral:rRNA from 1 species
UGCUAGUUGUGCGAGUUCAUACUCGCAGCGUAUAGCUCAGUAACACGUGGCCAAACUACCCUACAGACAAGAACAACCUCGGGAAACUGAGGCUAACACUUGAUACGCGUUGACUGUUUGAAGACAUCGACGUUCAAACGCUCCGGCGCUGUAGGAUGUGGCUGCGGCCGAUUAGGUAGACGGUGGGGUAACGGCCCACCGUGCCGAUAAUCGGUACGGGUUGUGAGAGCAAGAGCCCGGAGACGGAAUCUGAGACAAGAUUCCGGGCCCUACGGGGCGCAGCAGGCGCGAAACCUUUACACUGCACGCCAGUGCGAUAAGGGAACCCCGAGUGAAAGGGCAUAUCGCCCUUUCUUUUCUGAACCGUAGGGAGGUUCAGGAACAAGAGCUGGGCAAGACCGGUGCCAGCCGCCGCGGUAAUACCGGCAGCUCAAGUGAUGACCGAUUUUAUUGGGCCUAAAGCGUCCGUAGCUGGCCGCGCAAGUCUGUCGGGAAAUCCACCCGCUUAACGGGUGGGCGUCCGGCGGAAACUGUGCGGCUUGGGACAGGAAGGCUCGAGGGGUACGUUCGGGGUAGGAGUGAAAUCCCGUAAUCCUGAACGGACCACCGAUGGCGAAAGCACCUCGAGAGGACUGAUCCGACAGUGAGGGACGAAAGCUGGGGUCUCGAACCGGAUUAGAUACCCGGGUAGUCCCAGCCGUAAACGAUGUUCGCUAGGUGUGACACUCACUACGAGUUGAGUGUUGUGCCGCAGGGAAGCCGCUAAGCGAACCGCCUGGGAAGUACGUCCGCAAGGAUGAAACUUAAAGGAAUUGGCGGGGGAGCACUACAACCGGAGGAGCCUGGCGGUUUAAUUGGACUCAACGCCGGUAACCUUACCAGCCCCGACUACCGUGAUGACCGUUCAGGUUGAUGACCUCACCACGACGCUU